rnacentral:rRNA from 1 species
CACGUAGGGUGCGAGCGUUGUCCGGAAUUAUUGGGCGUAAAGAGCUCGUAGGCGGUGUGUCGCGUCGGCCGUGAAAACCUGCAGCUUAACUGUGGGCUUGCGGUCGAUACGGGCAUCACUGGAGUUCGGCAGGGGAGACUGGAAUUCCUGGUGUAGCGGUGAAAUGCGUAGAUAUCUGGAGGAACACCAGUGGCGAAAGCGCGUGACUGGGCCACAACUGACGCUGAGGAACGAAAGCUAGGGUAGCGAAAGGG